rnacentral:rRNA from 1 species
UACGUAGGUGGCAAGCGUUGUCCGGAAUUAUUGGGCGUAAAGCGCGCGCAGGCGGCCUUUUAAGUCUGAUGUGAAAGCCCACGGCUCAACCGUGGAAGGUCAUUGGAAACUGAAAGGCUUGAGUACAGAAGAGGAAAGCGGAAUUCCACGUGUAGCGGUGAAAUGCGUAGAGAUCGGGAGGAACACCUGUGGCGAAGGCGGCCCCCUGGGCCGGCCCUGACACUGAGACGCGAAGGCGUGGGGAGCGAACGGG